CUAUUAUUUAUUUUCAAUACCUUUUCUAUUAGUUCCUAAACUUGUCUGGUACAGUCACUGGUAAAAUUGUUGCCAUGAAAAGUAUAGCAGCAUACAGAAGUGGCUUGGACAUUAAUACAAAUGUCAGUAAGAAGGCUGACGAAGAAGGUUUGCUUGAAGAUUUACAUGCUGGGAAGCAUAUGUAAUGCACCAAAGUUAGUUUUUGUUGUUCUGUGUACUAUGGUUAAUUUCUUGUACUCCAUGUUGGAUUAUCCAAAGACUAGUAAUUUGUUUUUUGUUACA